GACGAACGCUGGCGGCGCGCUUAACACAUGCAAGUCGAGCGAGAACCCAGGCUUCGGCCUGGGGGAAAGCGGCGAACGGGUGAGUAUCACGUGGGUAAUCUGCCCUCGGCAUCGGGAUAGCCCGGGGAAACCCGGAUUAAUACCGAAUGGCCCAUCCGCUCUUCGGAGCGGCUGGAAAAGGUAGCUUCGGCCUCCGGCCGCGGAGGAGCCCGCGGCGGAUUAGCUUGGUGGUGAGGUAACGGCUCACCAAGGAAUCGAUCCGUAGCCGGUCUGAGAGGACGAUCAGCCACACUGGGACUGAGACACGGCCCAGACUCCUACGGGAGGCAGCAGUGGGGAAUCUUGCGCAAUGGGCGAAAGCCUGGCGCAGCGACGCCGCGUGCGGGAAGAAGGCCUUCGGGUUGUAAACCGCUUUCAGGAGGGACGAAGCCACUCAGGUUAAUAGCCGAGAGGGUGACGGUACCUCCAGAAGAAGCCCCGGCUAACUACGUGCCAGCAGCCGCCGUAAGAC
rnacentral:rRNA from 1 species